ACUCCUACGGGAGGCAGCAGUGGGGAAUUUUGGACACUGGGCGAAAGCCUGAUCCAGCAAUGCCGCGUGAGUGAAGAAGGCCUUCGGGUUGUAAAGCUCUUUUGUCAGGGAAGAAACGGUGAGAGCUAAUAUCUUUUGCUAAUGACGGUACCUGAAGAAUAAGCACCGGCUAACUACGUGCCAGCAGCCGCGGUAAUACGUAGGGUGCAAGCGUUAAUCGGAAUUACUGGGCGUAAAGCGUGCGCAGGCGGUUUUGUAAGUCUGAUGUGAAAUCCCCUGGCUCAACCUGGGAAUUGCAUUGGAGACUGCAAGGCUAGAAUCUGGCAGAGGGGGGUAGAAUUCCACGUGUAGCAGUGAAAUGCGUAGAUAUGUGGAGGAACACCGAUGGCGAAGGCAGCCCCCUGGGUCAAGAUUGACGCUCAUGCACGAAAGCGUGGGGAGCAAACAGGAUUAGAUACCCGAGUAGUCCCAUGA
rnacentral:rRNA from 1 species